rnacentral:rRNA from 1 species
GGCGGCCAUAGCGCGGUGGUCCCACCUGAUCCCAUGCCGAACUCAGAAGUGAAACGCCGUAGCGCCGAUGGUAGUGUGGGGUCUCCCCAUGC